CUGCUAAGAUGGGUCGGGGAGAGCGUUUUCGAGAAACAAGAGAGAAGAUCAGAGAGGCGAAACCCACCCAAUCUCAUUCUUCUUCUUCUUCAAUUUUUUCUCUCUUUUCUUCUUUAAAACCAAAAGCCCUUUUUAGUCCAGUUCUUCUUCUUCUUCAAUUUUGUUUUUUCUCUUUCUCGGAUGAAACCCUAGAACCGUGAACAAUGAAGAUUGGGGGUUGCCAAGAGUAGAGUUAUUGUACGAAUUGGUGAAUUGAGAGGCCGCAGUAAGGACUUUGGAUCAAGAUGGUUGCAGUGGAUCAUGGAUGUUGUGAAAUUUCAGACCUGGAGACUUGUUUUAAAGACUGUUUUAAUCAUUAUAAUUAUUGUUGUUAUUAAAUUCAAUAUUGUGUUUGAACCAAUAUUAUUUUAGUAUGGAACGUUAGGUAUAUUAAGAUUAAUGGUAUGAUGUAUUCUAAUAAAAGUGCUUGUAAUGUGAAGUUAGUAUAAUGAUGUACGAUCAUGGUAAUGUAAUUGGAGAAUUGGUUGCUAGUUAAUUAGUCCAAAUAUACAAUGUUGAUUAAUAUUGAUGUAGUUGUCGGUACGUGUAUAUCUUGUUUUCUUAAAAUGUUUAAUUUAUUGAAUGCUUAACUCACCCAUACAAUUGUGUGUUUUGUCUUUGUGUAGAAGAUUAUUUUGAGAAGUGAGAGAUGGGAUAAAGCCUUAGGAAGAUUUACAAGUGUCAUGCAUAUUAAAUGCAUGUUUUUGAAUUAUUCUGUAGUUAUAUACUUUUUUCAUAUUUAAUUACUGAGUUGUAAAUAUUAUGAGUUGUAAAUAUUAAAUAACCAUAAUGUGGAAUAUGAAAGAAAUUUCUUUUAUAGAUUUUUGAUAAAUU
rnacentral:sRNA from 1 species